GAUGAACGCUGGCGGCGUGCUUAACACAUGCAAGUCGAACGAUGAAGCCCAGCUUGCUGGGUGGAUUAGUGGCGAACGGGUGAGUAACACGUGAGUAACCUGCCCUUAACUCUGGGAUAAGCCUGGGAAACUGGGUCUAAUACCGGAUAGGAGCGUCCACCGCAUGGUGGGUGUUGGCAAGAUUUAUCGGUGUUGGAUGGACUCGCGGCCUAUCAGCUUGUUGGUGAGGUAAUGGCUCACCAAGGCGACGACGGGUAGCCGGCCUGAGAGGGUGACCGGCCACACUGGGACUGAGACACGGCCCAGACUCCUACGGGGGGCAGCAGUGGGGAAUAUUGCACAAUGGGCGCAAGCCUGAUGCAGCGACGCCGCGUGAGGGAUGACGGCCUUCGGGUUGUAAACCUCUUUCAGUAGGGAAGAAGCGAAAGUGACGGUACCUGCAGAAGAAGCACCGGCUAACUACGUG
rnacentral:rRNA from 1 species